UAAAAUGAUAUAAUUUUUUAUAAAUUUAGCUCAUAUAAAGUAUAAUCUCCAUUUUAUAUAUUGCAAUACAUAUUAAAGGAGGACAUAAUACAAAAAGAACAUCUUAUUUAUCAUUAUGACAUACAAUCGGAACAGGUUGUCUUAUUAGGUUGACAAAUAUUAAAUACUUGCACGAUGCCUGAGAUCUAAAAAUAGAAAAAGUUCCGAGUGUUAUCAGGUGUAUCGGCAUGAUCAUCUCCAAUAACAAUGUGAAUUCCACCUGCAGAUCCGAGUAUUCAUUCAUGGAUACAAUCAUCUAAUGCAUUUUUGUUUGCUUUCCCGUAGCAGAAGAGACCCUCCUGUGUUCUCCGAGAGAUUGCUCCUUCAAUGGCCAUGAACAGAAAGCAUUCAUGCAGUUCAGGAAAAAAAAGGGAGACAAUCAGAAAACAGCCUUUGAUGUCAAUAUAUAUACAAAGACAUGUACAUAAGGCAAGAGAACUAUAGUAUGGGAACGCCUGAUAAACAAAAAGGCUCAUUGCCAUAUGGUUUUCCCACAGAUGCAAGCUGAACAUGUCAAAUACACAGCAAAACGUCAGAAUUAGACUACAAAAAAGUAGGCAAUAUGACAUGGAAAAUGUUGACGUAGAUUGGAAAAUCAAGGAAGAUUCCACAAAUCGCUAAUGUAAGAUACAACACUGUAAUUUUCUAUCCAUACCUGUCUUAGUAAUGUGCAGAUUACAACAACCACAUAUGAUAUAUAACCAGCAAGAAAAUUAUUUAAGAGACCUGAAGCUGUCAUAGAUUCUGCUCAACUACAAAAAGCAGGUGAGUUUCCAUAAUUUCAGUCUGAUAUCAAAAGUUUGAUACUGAUCAAUACAACACCAUAAAGAGUAGAAAUGAAGACAACAACAAAGUGACAAACACAUAAACCAUAGUGAACAAACCAAAGAGGUGGAUGGAGAUCACCUGUUAAAAUAGAGACAUGGUAGCAUACCAGCCAUUAACUGCGAGAAUAGAACAAACGCGAACGAUUCAGCAGUUUCUCCGGCAGGUUAUCCUCGGAAAUUUGGCGGAAGAACAUAAUUAACAGCAGCAGAUGGUAGAAUACCGUGAAAGAGCGGAGAAAACGACAUAAAAUGAAGAGGUACAUCAAUAAAAAGGUGUGGGCAGAGUGAAUGGAAAAAAUGAUUACGAGGCAGACUGAUGGUUCGCUUUUGUAUUUAUCCUUCUGAUGCCCGGUAUAAGCAACACUUGAGAUUCUGACCAAAGAGCUGCAAAGGCAAAGAACUGUUGGUGCGGCUGGAUUUCAGAGCUUCCCAGCUUGCCCUCCUUAUGUUAGCGGAUUCAACGACAAUCUGCAGCCAGACCUCCUCCAUCGUCCUUCCAUGGUUUUGUUAAAGAUGGAUGACCGGAUCUUGAUAGAAAACAAAAGAAGUGGAUGAAGAAAAGAGGAUAGCUGUAAGAGGAGAUAUGUGAGUUAGAGAAAUUGAAGUAAGAAGAAGGUGCAGAUAUGGGGAAGGGAAGAACAGGAAGAGAAAUUGAAGGAAGAAGAAGGCGUAGAUAUGGUCAUGGGAAGAAGGGUGAAAAGGUGAGGUUGAAAGGACCAAGCAUAGCAGGCGAAGCAGUGCAGCGGCCGGCGUAAUAGAAAUCUUUUAUCAAUUUCAAAUUACUAUAUAUUUCAAAUUAUAUAUUUAU
rnacentral:lncRNA from 1 species